UAUGGCCACAUCAUAUUGAAACACUGGUUCCUUUAUGGUUACCAAAGUUAAGCAAUACUGGGCUUGGUCAGUACCUAGAUGGGUAACCAUUUGGGAAUACCUGUUGCUGUAAG